CUGCCCUUUUAGGUAUCGUUUGGUUCGGGUAUGAGAUUGAACUGCUUAUUUUAGGGAUGGGUACAAAAUGUUGGAACUAGCUGGAACUAUUGUAUUUUUGUGUUUGAUUGAGCAUUAUGUUUGUAGCAUGUAUAAAGAAUAUAGUGUUUGGAUGUAUAAGAUAGAAUAAGAUGAAUAAAUGUUGGUUAAAAGUUAAAAUUACGUUUUUACCCCUUGUGCUUAUAAUCCUAUAAAAACAAAAUAUGAUAUAAUUAUAUAUAAAUAUAAUUCACUCUAAUUUUCAUUCUUGAAAAAUUAUUUAAUUAAUUAUUAUAUUGUUAAAAAAAGCGUUACUUUUCAAAUAAAUUUAUUUCUGCGAAUUUUCGCUCGUUAUAAUUAAACUAAACUUCUCCUAAAAAUAAAUAUAUUUAAUAAUAAUUCAAUAAGGUUUAUAACCAUGUUAGCAAAUAAUUAACUACAGUAAAACAAAUUAAAAUAAAAAUAUUCCAAUGCAUAUGUUAAUAUGUUACAAACAUUUCAAUCUAAAUGUUACAAAUAUUCCAAUCCAUAUUAAUAACAACCUAUUAAUAAUACUGCAAUAAGGUUUAUAACUAUGUUAGUAAAUAAUUAACACAACCUGUUGUUGUCCAGGCCAUAUAACACACUGAAAGGGUUCGGUGACAACGGAAUAGGAGAAAGGAAUCUAUUGCGAACUUCUAUACCAUCAUUACGACGAUGGUGACAUGAUCAUAGAGUUGACCCUUGUCCUGGUGUUUCUCUGCAGGUUUCAAUGGAGCUGUGGAAGAUGGAGGAGGAGGAGGCAACAGUAGAAGACAUAGUUGCCACGCGAAAAAAAAAUGGCAGAGGAGAUUCUUGUAGGAAAGAUUUGGGAAGAGGAGAAAGCGUAAAAACUUUUUCCGAAGUAGGAGCAAAUGAUCAACUUAGCCUAUCUUGGACAUCUUUACACUGCCCUUUUAGGUAUCUUUUGGUUCAGGUAUAAGAUGGAACUACUUAUUCCAGGGAUAGGUGCAAAUGUUGAAACUAAGGUGGAACUAUUGUAUUUUUGUGUUUGAUUGAGUAUUAUGUUUAUAACAGGUAUAAGAAAAAUAGUGUUUGGAUGUUUAAGAUAGAAUAAGAUGAAUAAAUGUUGGUUAAAAAUUAAAUUACGUUUUUACCCCUCGUGCUUAUAAUCCUAUAAAAACAAAAUAUGAUAUAAUUAUAUAUAAAUAUAAUUUACUCUAAUUUUCGUUCUUGAAAAGUUAUUUAAUUAAUUAUUAUAUUGUUAAAAAAAUAUUAUUUUUCAAAUAAAUUUAUUUCUACGAACUUUUGCUCGUUAUAAUUAAACUAAAUUUUUUCUAAAAAUAAAUAUAUUUAAUAAUACUUCAAUAAGGUUUAUAACUAUGUUAGCAAAUAAUUAACUAUAGUAAAAUAAAUUAAAAUAAAAAUAUUUCAAUGCAUAUGUUAUAAACCAUAUGUUACAAACAUUCCAAUCUAAAUAUUAUAAAUAUUUAAAUCCAUAUUAAUAACAAUAUAUUAAUAAUACUGCAAUAAGGUUUAUAACCAUGUUAGUAAAUAAUUAAUACAACAAACUGUAUGUUACAAACUAUACCAAACAUUUACAAUAAAACAUAUUAAAAUAAAAAACAUUCCAAACGAAAUAUGUCUUCAUAUUCCAUACAAGCAUAUAUAAUUAUCACACUUGGAAGCAAACCCAUUUAAUAGAAUCCAAUUCAACCGACAGUUUAAAUAAUUAAUUACUUCUACUAUUUCAUAACUGGUCUGUAAUACUAGUGUGAAGAUCGUCGCCCCGGUGUGAGUCCGAUGUGACACUGAAAUCACUCGGGUCUUCUUCUUUAUCCUCAGGAGACGAUGGGUCAAGUUCUUCAGUAAAAAAUCUAUCAGCUCUAUAAUGUCGUCGAAUAAAGUUGUGUAUGACACAACAUGCCAUACCAAUAAGACAUUGGACUUUAUAGGGGAAUGGAGUUGCAUAAUUUAGAAUGUUGAAACGUUUCUUCAAUAUGCCGAAAGUCUUCUCUACAAUAUUUCGUAGUUGAGCAUACCGAUAAUUAUAUAAGUCCCGCGGAUUGUGAUGUGUGCGGCCACGUGUAUUACCCUCAAAUUGACUAAGAUGGUAUCUCUCUCCGCGAUAUGGUGCAAGAAAUUUAUCUGUAUUAACAUAUCUAUAAUUACCAAGUAAUAUUUGCCUGUGAACAUUCUCGAGAAAUGCAUGUCUCAAAAUGUGAUAUAAGAUCAUUCAUAAGUUUUUACAGUAUAAUAAUCGAAAAGGCAAAUAUAUGGCACAUACCUUUGUGAACAGUAAACCCUCCACUUUCGCAAGCCCAUCUUAAUACUCUUAUAUCUGCUGCUAAACCUUUCCAUCCUGUACAUACAAAUAGAAAACCUAUGGAACCAUACUAACCUCGAUCUAUUUUUUCUUGUUCCAAUUUUUCUUCUCCUUCUUCUCAUCUUCUUCACUGUUGGAUGAAUACCGAGAAAUAAUAUGAGCUAACGCUUGUUUGAACUUUUAGAAAAAAAAGAAAAAAACAAGAAAAGAAAAGAUGAUGAAAAAAGUUGAUCAUGAAACCUGUUGUUGUCCAGGCCAUAUAACACACUGAAAGGAUUUGGUUACAACGGAAUAGGAGAAAGGAAUCUUUUGCGAACUUCUAUACCAUCAUCGUGACGAUGGUAACAUGAUCAUAGAGCUGAUCCUCCUUCUGGUGUUUCUCCAUUGCUGCAGGUUUCAAUGGAGCUGUGGAAGAUGGAGGAGGAGGAGGCAACAGUGGAAGACAUAGUCGCCACGCGAAAAAAAAAUGGCAGAGGAGAUUCUUGUAGGAAGGAUUUGGAAAGAGGAGAAAGCGUAAAAACUUUUUCGAAGUGGGAGCAAAUGAUCAACUUGGCCUAUCUUGGAUAUCUUUACACUGCCCUUUUAGGUAUCGUUUGGUUCAAGUAUAAGAUGAAACUGCUUAUUUCAGGGAUAGGUACAAAUGUUGGAACUAGUUAGAACUAUUAUAUUUUUGUGUUUGAUUGAGUAUUAAGUUGUACCAUGUAUAAGAAAAAUAGUGUUUGGAUGUAUAAGAUAGAAUAAGAUGAAUAAAUACUGGUUAAAAGUUAAAAUUACGUUUUUAUCCCUUGUGCUUAUAAUCCGAUAAAAACAAAAUAUGAUAUAAUUAUAUAAAAAUAUAAUUUACUCUAAUUUUUGUUCUUGAAAAGUUAUUUAAUUAAUUAUUAUAUUAUUAAAAAAUUAUUAUUUUUCAAAUAAAUUUAUUUCUGCGAACUUUCGCUCAUUAUAAUUAAACUAAACUUCUCGUAAAAAUAAAUAUAUUUAAUAAUAUUUCAAUAAGGUUUAUAACCAUGUUAGCAAAUAAUUAACUACAGUAAAACAAAUUAAAAUAAAAAUAUUCCAAUGCAUAUGUUAUAAACCAUAUGUUACAAACAUUCCAAUCCAAAUGUUACAAACAUUCCAAUCCAAAUGUUACAAACAUUCCAAUCCAAAUGUUACAAAUAUUCCAAUCCAUAUUAAUAACAACAUAUUAAUAAUACUGCAAUAAGGUUUAUAACCGUGUUAGCAAAUAAUUAAGAUAACAAACUAUAUAUUACAAACUAUACCAACAUUUACAAUAAAAUAUAUUAAAAUAAAAACAUUCUAAACGGUACAUUACAAAAGCGUAGUAGACAUUUCUAAGUACGCAAUCAAAGCGAAAUAUGUCUACAUAUUUCAUACAAGAAUAUAUAAUUAUCACACUUGGAAACAAACCCAUUUAAUAGAAUCCAAUUCAACCGACAGUUUAAAUAAUUAACUUCUACUAUUUCAUAACUGGUCUGUAAUAUUAGUGCGAAGAUCGCCACCCCGGUGUGAGUCCGAUGUGGCACCGAAAUUGCUCGGGUCUUCUUCUUUAUCCUCAAGAGACGAUAGGUCAAGGUCUUUAGUAAAAAAAUUUAUCAGCUCUAUGAUGUCGUUGAAUAAAGUUGUGUAUGACACAACAUGCCAUACCAAUAAGAUAUUAGACUUUAUAGGGAAAUGGAGUUGCA
rnacentral:lncRNA from 1 species